CUUGACCUCAAAUCGGGUGAGACUACCCGCUGAACUUAAGCAUAUCAAUAAGCGGAGGAAAAGAAACUAACAAGGAUUCCCCUAGUAACUGCGAGUGAAGCGGGAAAAGCUCAAAUUUAAAAUCUGGCGGUCCUUGGCCGUCCGAGUUGUAAUUUAGAGAAGCGUCUUCCGCGCUGGACG
rnacentral:rRNA from 1 species